CUCCUGACAGACCAGGGAGUGUCCACAGGACAAACAGUGGGCUGGCUCAAGGGCGAGCUGAUGCUGUUUGUGGAUUGACUGAUCUUCCCCAUGGACUCGCCAAAAAGACUGCUCAGCUCAGAGGAACAGUGCUCACUGCUGCCUUGACCUUAACCUUGCAGGAAGUGGACUGGCCUAAGAUUAGCUAAUUCAGUAUCUGCUAAUAUAAUAAUAAUAUAAUAAUAUCAACUGCUCAACAAAAAACUGAUCUUUCUUUUUUUUUUUUUCAAAGCACCUUCCAGGCUAUGAGGAGAACCAAAAAGAAGUGAUGGUGUGCUGCUUGAGUCUAAACAGCCUCAAAAGAGAGAAAUGGAAGGGAAGGAAGAGAAAAGAAAAACUCUCAAUAGAAGGUAACAUCAAAAACUCCAUUUACUAGCUCUGAGAAGAUCACAGUGUGUGGGGGUGGUUUUGUGAAGAUCGAAGACCAUCAGGUUAAUUGCACCCUGCCUCCUGGAAAUUCUCAGGUGCCUUGCCUUCUUGAAUAAGAGGGACUCUUCAAAGCAUCCCAUCCUUCUGGAAAGGCAGUGUGACAUAAAGACAGGAGGCAGUUAUGGUGCCUGUAUUACUAUUAUUAGUGGACUGAAUUGCCUUGGAGAGCUUGUUCUGCUGACGAAGAGAGAAAUUAGACUGAGGAGUGAAUUGUUUCCCAACAUUUCUUCCUGAGAGAACUCAGACUCCGGGGGUCUGAAGAGACAUAGUAGGAGGGCCUGGCAGAUACCUCAGCAGGCAUAUGUGUUGUUUCCUCAUCUUCACAGAGAACCAGCCCGCGCACUGGAUGUCUGACCUCGUGAGACAUUGGGUGGGACUCAGUUUGCUGUAACUCUCCUCAGAAAGGCUCCAAGAGCGGUGUACUCUUCUUCUCAAAGCUUCCCCUGGAAGCACCAAGCAAGGCCAUUCUCCUGCCCAUGCACAGUCGCUGCCUUUCAAGUGACCAGAUCAGAUGCUGGAAAAGUCAAGAAUCGUGGUCUGACUCAAGGCUAGAGGAGAGCUGGCUUCCUGCAACCCUCCUGUGAAGAAAUGUGAGCCACUCAGAACACUGCCUUCAGUCCUCAAGAGAGAAAUAUAGCUGUCUGUGGCUUGUACACAAUUCAAAUCUUAAUUCUCACCUGCUAUAACACCUCAUUGAUCCCCAUUGUCAGGGGAUGAGGCGUUCUGCAGGAGUGAAUGUGCCUUGUAGUUUAGGCUUACCUGUUAAAGCACUUAAUCAUAAAAAAAAAAAAAUAAGAAGAUUGGCUGAACUGCAUACUUCACUGCUAGAAUAAACAGUACCUUUCGUACUUGAAAUUUUAUGGUUCAGGCCAUCAUCUUGAUUGAGAACUCCAUUGUGUGGUUGUAAUUCAUACAUGGUAUGUAAUAAAAGGUUAAAAGCAA